UCAAGGCAGGGGGUUAGAGCCUCCUGCGACAGCCCUGUUCGGCGGUGGAUGGCUUCAUUUGUAACUUUCGGAAACUUCGACACAUGGUGUCCGCUGGUUAAGCGUGCGCGCACCUGGGCAGUGAGCUGGGCCACGCCACCUGCAGGCAGCUCUCAGCUUCCCGGAGUUCCCACCUCAUUCCGGCAUCUGUCUUCCCGGGAACCUCCACCCAGUUUUACAGAUGGGGUCCAACCUGAGACUUUGGGAAAGGAGUCAACUGUAAAAGAUGCUUGAAUUCCACUCAUCUACUUUACGCCGGCUCAGGAAGAAGAAACGGUACCUUCUGCCUCAACGUUGUGAGUUCCCAGGCUCCUUGAAUGUUCACGUACCUGAGAGAUUUUUCUCACUUCUUUCUCAUAUCGCAGAAGGAUCAUUACUGAUGACUAAAGUGAUGUUUACAUUUUAAAAGUCAAGCUACUUUUAAGGAACCACAGAAAUGCAUGCUAGGAUUCGCUUUAGAUUUUCUAUUUCUUCUAUUGAUAGCAAGGAUCGGGACAGGCUAGCAAGUGCUUUUCAUUUUAUUGGGCCUUUUUAGCAGUAUUUAAUUUUUAAAACUAAGCGUGCAUUGCUUUUAAAAAGCAGUUGAAUAAAGAUGUAUGUUCAGAACUUGAAAUACAUAAAAAAGUGAAAUGAAAAUAAGAUUGUGAUCCCACUACUUAAAGAAUCACCAUCGUUAAAACUCGGACGCGUUUCUUUCUAUCCUAUUCGUUCGCUGUUUCUAAUGCUUAUGGAGUGUUUAGUCACACAUGCACCCACGCGCACACAACCCUCGGCUCCUCUUUUGUUCACUCAACAUAAGGGGACCAUGCCCCACGUUAUUAAAAUAUUUUUAAAAAUACGUGCGUGUCGUUACAUGUGUUCUGUGUCACACACACGUUAACAAUGUGAAGACGAAAGAAGAACAUCAAAAAUCAAAGUGCUCUCACGUCCCCUGGCACAUGUGAUUUUAUGACCCCGUGUGAGGAGCAGGCCGGGAAGUGUUUCCAACUUCCAGCUGGGAGUGCAGAGCUCAGAGACGGGAAGGGACUCAGAGCUGGUUCAGACCACAGGCCAGGGUGCUGCCGCCGGCAGAGUGGCCCGGGCAUGAUAACGAGGCUAGGAUUUGCUGGGCCUGAAACUUGUAUCAUUUUAGGGGUUCUCCUUUUUUUUUUAGAGACAGAGUCUCACUCUGUUGCCCCAGGCUAGAGUGC